rnacentral:rRNA from 1 species
ACCAGACUCCUACGGGAGGCAGCAGUGGGGAAUAUUGCACAAUGGGGGAAACCCUGAUGCAGCGACGCCGCGUGAGCGAUGAAGUAUUUCGGUAUGUAAAGCUCUAUCAGUAGGGAAGAAAAUGACGGUACCUGACUAAGAAGCCCCGGCUAACUACGUGCCAGCAGCCGCGGUAAUACGUAGGGGGCGAGCGUUAUCCGGAUUCACUGGGUGUAAAGGGAGCGUAGACGGCCAUGCAAGCCAGGGGUGAAAGCCCGGGGCCCAACCCCGGGACUGCCCUUGGAACUGCAUGGCUGGAGUGCGGGAGGGGCAGGCGGAAUUCCUGGUGUAGCGGUGAAAUGCGUAGAUAUCAGGAGGAACACCGGUGGCGAAGGCGGCCUGCUGGACUGCGACUGACGUUGAGGCCCGAAAGCGUGGGGAGCAAACAGGAUUAGAUACCCUUGUAC